rnacentral:lncRNA from 1 species
AGAGCAUGUGGAAGCACUUUACAGAAAAAAAACAAACUGAAAUACUCACUCUGCUCUUUGCAUGUUCUCUCUUUUUUCAUAUCUCCUCUUGCUCCCAUUCUCCCUUAUAAGUAGCUGAACUUCACUGGCAGUGUCUGAGGCAGGGUAGGUUGGAAGAAACCACAAACAGAGCUGCAAUACUGCUGCAAUAUGGAGGGAAGGGAUGGUGGGUAGUGGCAGAAGAGUGGUAGGCAGUAUCUGGCCUUUGAAAAGCCACCUCCACUUUUUUUUUUUUUUCUUCUCUCUUCAGCAGUCUCAUGGAUUCUAUGGUAUUUUUUCUAUCUUUGUGAACAUUGUAUCUCCCAGGCCCAAAGAUAUAACAAGGCAUUUGAAAAGUUUGGACAGCUUGUCAAAUGAAGGUAUCUAGUCACAAAAAUGGGAGUGUAAAAAGAAGUGGAAAUGAAAGGAACAAGAUGAAAUGAGAGAAAAAGGAGAGGAAAUGAGUGGAGCAAGAGCAAGAGAUGCAGAACUGCUUCUACUUACAGCAUGGCAAGAGAAUGCUGCUUUAAGGAACUCAUGAGAUUAUGGCCUGUGGUUCAAACCUUUAAUUUAAGAUUCCAGCUUUUUCAGCUUUAACCAUGUUUUAGCACAAUAACGUCUGUCUUAUAAAUGAUGUAACUGGCAAUUACAACUGCUGUGGUUUCAGUGGUGGUUUCAGUUCAUGCUUCUUUGUAAUUCAUGUGGUUUCAGGACAUGCUUCUGAAGGCUACAGAAAUUACUUCUGUGAAUUAUUAAUUAGGAAAAUAAUCUCAUAUUUUGUAAACUCUUAUAGUAUGUAAGAAAUAGGUCAACGUAAGGUGAUGAAUGUGUAGAGCUUUUUUCUCCUGUAGUGACUAUUAAUGCUUUAGUGACCACUAUUAGUUUACAGAGAUCAUCAAGCUUUCAGACAGUUGAAAAGUAUUUCAAAAUAUUUUGUGCAGUUGUGUGCUCACCGGAAAGAAUAAUUACUUUUGAAUUCGUUUAUCAUGUCAGUUUAUUUAUACCUUUAGACUAGGUAGGAAAACUGCUUGAGGGGUCUGAAAAAUGCUAGAUAUUGUCCCCAGGAUGGUGUACAAUGGAUUGAAACUGUUCCUUUUCAACUAGAAGGCCAUUUUUCCCUUGAUGCUUUACCAUCUGUAUCUGUGUGCUCACAGCUUUGUAUAUAGCAUUUUCAGCAGUGCUAUCUAUCUACCAUGAUAUCUAUCCAUGAUACAAACUGGUAGUAUCUAUCAUUUCUGUUAUCUUAUCAUGCUGUGGAUAAAAUUAGCUAUAUAUUUCAGAAAGUUCACACCAGGUCUUGCAGACCACACAGAUAUCUGCAAAGUAGUAUGACAGAAUGGAACAGCAGCUGGGUGAGAUGCUGGUAUGAACAAUACCAGUCAGAUCAU